GGCCGAAUGGUCUAGUAGUAUGAUACUCGCUUCGGGUCGCUUAGCAAUGAGCGUGGGAAAUGCGAGUGGUCCCGGGUUCAAUUCCCGGUUCGGCCC